GACGAACGCUGGCGGCGUGCUUAACACAUGCAAGUCGAACGGAAAGGCCCUGCUUUUGUGGGGUGCUCGAGUGGCGAACGGGUGAGUAACACGUGAGUAACCUGCCCUUGACUUUGGGAUAACUUCAGGAAACUGGGGCUAAUACCGGAUAGGAGCUCCUGCUGCAUGGUGGGGGUUGGAAAGUUUCGGCGGUUGGGGAUGGACUCGCGGCUUAUCAGCUUGUUGGUGGGGUAGUGGCUUACCAAGGCUUUGACGGGUAGCCGGCCUGAGAGGGUGACCGGCCACGUUAGGACUGAGAUACGGCCCAGACUCGUACGGGAGGCAGAAGUGGGGAAUAUUGCACAAUGGGCGGAAGCCAGAUGCAGCAACGCCGCGUGCGGGAUGACGGCCUUCGGGUUGUAAACCGCUUUCGCCUGUGACGAAGCGUGAGUGACGGUAAUGGGUAAAGAAGCACCGGCUAACUACGUG
rnacentral:rRNA from 1 species